rnacentral:snoRNA from 1 species
UUCUCUCCUCAACCCAAGAGUCACUGUUGGUCAUUGCAGCAGUUUAAACAGAGGUGCAGACAGCAAGUGGAUUUCGUCACCUUUGGGGAGCUGUCGGCUCUGGCUGGAACCCCUGGGCAGCUCCUGGGCCUGGCGGGUAUGCCAGCUCA